UACGGAGGGAGCUAGCGUUGUUCGGAAUUACUGGGCGUAAAGCGCGUGUAGGCGGCUACUCAAGUCAGAGGUGAAAGCCUGGAGCUCAACUCCAGAACUGCCUUUGAAACUAGGUGGCUUGAAUCCGGGAGAGGUGAGUGGAAUUCCGAGUGUAGAGGUGAAAUUCGUAGAUAUUCGGAAGAACACCAGUGGCGAAGGCGGCUCACUGGACCGGUAUUGACGCUGAAGCGCGAAAGCGUGGGGAGCAAACAGG
rnacentral:rRNA from 1 species